rnacentral:rRNA from 1 species
CAGUCGCCACGGUAAAACGUAGGUCCCGAGCGUUGUCCGGAUUUAUUGGGCGUAAAGCGAGCGCAGGCGGUUAGAUAAGUCUGAAGUUAAAGGAUGUGGCUUAACCAUAGUACGCUUUGGAAACUGUUUAACCUGAGUGCAAGAGGGGAGAGUGGAAUUCCAUGUGUAGCGGUGAAAUGCGUAGAUAUAUGGAGGAACACCGGUGGCGAAAGCGGCUCUCUGGCUUGUAACUGACGCUGAGGCUCGAAAGCGUGGGGAGCAAACAGGAUUAGAUACCCGCGUAGUCCCUGUCUCUUAUACA